UUUGAUGGUGGCUCAGAUUGAACGCUGGCGGCAGGCCUAACACAUGCAAGUCGAGCGGUAACAGAAAUCAGCUUGCUAAUUUGCUGACGAGCGGCGGACGGGUGAGUAAUGCCUGGGAAUAUACCCUGAUGUGGGGGAUAACUAUUGGAAACGAUAGCUAAUACCGCAUAAUCUCUUCGGAGCAAAGAGGGGGACCUUCGGGCCUCUCGCGUCAGGAUUAGCCCAGGUGGGAUUGGCUAGUUGGUGGGGUAAUGGCUCACCAAGGCGACGAUCCCUAGCUGGUCUGAGAGGAUGAUCAGCCACACUGGAACUGAGACACGGUCCAGACUCCUACGGGAGGCAGCAGUGGGGAAUAUUGCACAAUGGGGGAAACCCUGAUGCAGCCAUGCCGCGUGUAUGAAGAAGGCCUUCGGGUUGUAAAGUACUUUCAGUUGUGAGGAAGGCGUUGGAGUUA
rnacentral:rRNA from 1 species